AUCACGGAGCGAAUGCCACCGAUUUCUUCAUCAUUUUAGCCUCCAUAGUUGAAGUUUCCUCAUUUGAAGCUGUUUAUGCAUACGCUUUUUCCCUGCUCUAGUACAGGAAAUUGAAGAAUUAACCAGAUGUGAUAUGCUGAAAGAGGGAAGUUUUCUUCCUUGAAUGUGGCCUUUGUGAUUUGUCUUGAAGGAAUAGGAUGAUCACUGGCAAGAACCCUAUCAAGGUAGAUUUUAUGGUGUUAACAUAUUAUUAGGCAUUUUGUUACAUCAUGAAAGUGUUUAAAUUUAACCGAAUGAUCUUGAUUGAUCAAUUAUGAGUUUUAAUCGAGUAAAAACUAAAUACAAUAAUCGUUAACAAAUAUUGAAAUUGGGUAAAUAUGAUCUUGAUAUUGAAGAAUUUGAAAUCACAACCCACACAGGAAAUCACCCUUCGCGUGGGGAUGGAGAUGUUUACUGCAGCGAUAUUGAAUAUGUCCACUGCUCUUUGGGUUAUGGUGCGACUUGCGAUUUCAAGGUUGCCAUGAAACAAUGGAAAAGAUUAACAUACCCUCCAAUGAAUGAAAACGGGUGGACUAAUUCGGAUUACCUAAUUGACUCAGGAUCAAGAUCGGCUGGCAAUAAUAACAGUUUAUUAACAAUGCACAGUCCGAGUACCUUUCCAGGAUCAGAUACGACGUGGUCUAAUGUUGAUAAUAAUAGUUUAUUAAAUGACAAAUCGUUGUUCUUGGGUGUUGAUUUCAGAAAUAAAAUACAUUCUGAGAGAUGCUGGUCUACUAUUGCAAGCCCCCAGAUUUAAGAAUAUUUUGAUGAUAAUUUAUCACCGGCAACUGUGCCGGAAGAUUCAAGUAGCACUGAAAAAGAUGAUAAUUUAAUUGAUAUGGACAGUUUCCAUAUCACUUUUAAAUCAUCUUAUGUAAUUGUAAUGUUAGGAAGCAUUAGUGAUCUAAAAGUGAACUAUUAUUGGUGUCAUUGGUGGUUUUAUCUUGUUAAAAUAUGGAUGAUAUUUUAUUGUAGACAAUCUUAUUCAAUUAACAUAUGGUUUAAAACCAUUAUGUUUUAUAUAAAUCAAUCUACUAAUUUUCAUGAUAUUUAACUGAGUUAAAAUCAAGUGCACUCAAUAAAUGUCUUUUCCUUUAAAAAAACAGCUACGCUUUGAUUUUAGUGCUUAAUAUUUCGUAACUACAAAUUAUAUAAUUGCGAGUUGCUGUCCAUAGCUGCUAAUUUGUAGUGAUUAUCUAAUUGCCUGAGGUGACAAUAAUUCUUUUAUCUUCAAUAGCACAAUGUGGAAUUCAAUAAUUAAAUUCUCCUAUUUAAUUUGUUUCAAGUUAAAUUAUUAAUUACUUAAACUCUGUUUUAAGUCUUUAAUUUUAUGUGUUUAUGCAGAAUUGGAUUCUUGAGCGUGUUGGACAUGACCAACAAUGAAAUUGACAGUAAACAAACAUUACAACGUGUGGACUCCGGUAAGCACCAAUGAAUUUCUAGCCCUGUUGACUCCGCCAACUAAAGUUUUGUAAAAUAAAAAAAUAAUACAUAGAAUUCCACCAAAUGCAAAACGCGUGAAAUUUAAUUUUCGGCCGUGUGGACCAAAACAUAAUUUAACGAAAAAGGAAAAAAAUAAUAAGAUUUUUAAAAUGUGUGGAAGGUAAUCCAUAUUUUACUGAAACGACUUAUUAAAUUUUUCAAGGAUUUAGAAUAUUUGAUCAUAAAUUACGUGCAUGUUAAUUUUUCCGCCAUUGACUAUCAUAUUCUAGACUUAAUGGUACCUUUCUUGAUGAAGGGUACUUAGUCUCUCUUCUCCUCUUAUAAAAAUUAUAUUAAUUGAUUUCUUGUUAUAGUUAAUAGACUUUAAGAACGGAUAGAUUUAUUGUUUUCAUGACCAAAUUAUGCAUGCCUAAGGUUGCAACUAUUAAUAAAAUUAAUAUUUAAUGUUUAUGUUAAAAGAUAUAAGUUUUUAUGCAUUCAUUAAUUGUUAUUAGCUAAAGGAUGAAUUAUUUUUUCCCAAUCAGUUGAUGCAUCUGCAAUAGUUUUUUUUUUCUUUUAUUGACCAUAAUUAUAUUCCGGGUGCAAUAAAUUGUCUUUGGUGCUUGGAAAAUAUGACAUCUCUCCGUCAACUUACUGGAAAUAUCUCCUCAUCUACUCGCAUUUAUCUAAUAUCAAUUGAAGAUCUCAUAUUUCCAAACUAUGACUUCCAAAUCUCAUUAUCAUUUGAGCAUUCAAAACUAAUCAAGUGUGGAAAUAAUCAAAUAUAUGCAAAAAUCGAGUCACAAUCUUUGGCCCCUCAAAAUUCUAAUUAUAUAACUUCUAUAUAUCUCAUACAUUUUCCAAAUUCCUCUUCCAUCAACAUCACUAGGAGUAUGUUCAUCUCUCACACAUUAACUUGAGUGAAGAGUUUCUAAAUUGAUUGUUAGAAAAUAAUACAAAAGCUAGACACGCUUGAUCUGUCUAAUAAUUCUCUUUCUGUAAAAUUAAUUAAUUUUAGGGGAAUUUAGCCAACCUCUGUAAUUUCAGAGUGAUCAUUAAUUAAUUAAACAAUACAAAUAUCUAAAGUGAUUAGAUGUUUGCUGACAAUACAAGUUCAUGGCUUGAAAUUUGAUCUCUAUCGAUUGACUUACAGAUGGACGUACUUGUGCCUUUCUGGUGAUAAUUGAACCAGAGAUGUGAAGCUGUAAGGAUUUGGCAGUAGUAAAUUGUUAUAAAGACAUAAUGACAAAUUCCCAUGAUUAUUAUUUUUUCCAAAAACUUUUUUACAACAAAUUCAUCUCGCCAAAAAUUUUAUUUUGCUAACUAACAAUAAUUGAGCACUUGACCGCAUUGACUCCACGUCUCCACCUACUUUCUAAGUAAAAACAUGGAAAUGUAAUCUCUACAAAAUGCCAAACGUGUGGAAUUUAAUUUUUGGCCUUGUGGACCAAAAUGCAAAUGAAAGAAAAAGAGAGAAAAAAACAAGGCCCAAAGACUUCUAAAAGAUGUAAAAGCUUUGGGCUUUUUUAUAAUGGUGGAUUUUUUAAAAGGAAAAAAUAACAACACUUCUAUGGUUUGUUUUGAUAAUCACAUUUACAUAUACUCUCUAAUUUUCAAAAUAGACACAUAAAUAUUUUUUUUCUACAAAUGUAUAUUAUUCAUAUUUUUUUAUUAUUUUUAAUAUCAUAUUAUUAUUUAUUAUAAAUGUUUAAAGUAAAUUUUUAGGUUGAAAUAUAAUAAAAGGGGAUAAUCGUUCUCCUAUUAAACACCCAUACUUUUAGUUUCUAUCCAUUUGUCAUCUCAAUCUCUCUCGAUUAUUCAUUCUUUCUAGCUCAAAACGCGUUGCUGUGGAAAAUUAUAGCAAAAAGACAAAUAUGGAAAAGAAAAAAGGGAAGAAAAUUAAUGCAUGAAAGACUUGGAGAAAACAACGAAGUAAGUCAACUAUAAUCUAGUUAGGUAUAUAAAUUGUUUGAUGCUUUAUAAGCAAAUAACAUAUAGAGACAGACAGUGUGUGUUCGUUUUUUCAUAGUUAAAGAUAUAGUUAGAAUGGGUGGUUCAAAAUCAAAAAUGGUGAUAAUGUUUGUUAUGUUAUUAAUAAUAUUUAAAAGUGGGUGGAGUGAGGGAUGUUUGGAUCACGAGAGAUUUGCUCUUUUGCGACUUAAACAUUUCUUCGAUGAUACUGGUAGUUAUCUUUACGACUGGGCCGAUGAUGAGGGAGCUACUGAUUGUUGUCAGUGGGAAAGGGUUGAGUGCAGCAACACCACAGGUCGAGUGACAGCGCUAGACCUUUCUGACACGUAUUCGGGAGAGUACGGCUGGUAUCUGAAUGCUUCUUUGUUUACUUCCUUUCAACAACUUGAGUCACUUGAUUUUAGUUUAAACAAAAUAGCCGGUUGUGAUGAGAAUGAAGGUACUUCGUUUAAUUUAAUUAAUUUACUUUCACUCUCCUAAUUUAAGUGGAAUAUUAAGACUGAGCAACUAUAUGCAUAUACAUUAGUUGACAAUUUUGACAUAUUUUUUGAAGUGAUUAAUUAAUUUUGAAAUUACACCAAUAUCUAUGAUCUUUUUUUUUUUUUUAAUUUUGCUUGCAGGUCUAGAGAGGUUAUCAAGAUUGAACAAUUUAAAGAUGCUUAAUUUAAGUUAUAACUGGUUCAACAAUAGUAUCUUAUCAUCUUUAACUCGUCUUUCAUCAUUAAGAUCAUUAAAAUUAUAUGCGAAUAAUUUGGAAGGAAGUAUUGAUGUUAAAGGUACAUAUUUAAAACUUCUCUCUUCCCCAAGCUCUUUCAUUAACCUGCUAAAAUAAGAUUCAAGGCUUUGAAUUCAAUUUUUUUAUGAUUAAUAUUUUAAAAAAAAGUUUUAAGCAAUUUAUAAAUACAAGUUUUAAUGUUUCUCAUAAUUUCAUCUUGUACUUUCAUAUGUCUUGAAUUUAAGAUUAAAAAAAAAACUCUAAUAGCGAACCAAACACCUCCACAACUUAUUAUUAUUAUUUUUUAAUUUGUGGUGAGGUUUGAAACAUUCAAGUCAAUUUGUACUUAUUACAGAAUUUGAUUCUUUGAGAGAUUUAGAGGAGCUAGACAUUGGAUGGAACAUGAUUGACAAAUUUGUGGUCUCAAAAGGUACUACAAAUACCAUAAAAAAAUGCCAACUUUUACAAAUAAGCUGGAUUCUUUGCCAUUUGGUUUAUUAUUUUACAGGUUUGAGUAAGUUGAAGUCUCUCGGUUUAGCUGGUAUCAAACUCAACCGUAGCAUCUUAUCUUCUCUGACUGUCUUUUCUUCGUUAAGAGAAUUACAUCUACGUGAUACCGGAUUCAAAGGAACAUUCGAUGUUCGAGGUAAGUCUAAGCCUUGCUUUCUCAUUUUAUAUAUGCCAGCUAGAUUUGUGUAUCAUUGACAUAAUUUAAUAUUUAAUUUGAUUCGUCUGAAGGAAUUACAUGCUAAUUUAAACAUACUUUUAUUUACUUUGUCAAUUAAUUAAUUAAUUAAUUACUAUUUGGCUUGGUUUGGAUGAAAUUCUCAUGAUGUUUUAAUUUCUUUAAAUUAAUUAAUUAAUUAACUUUGUUUUUAAGUCUUAAGUCUGGGCAUGUUUGCAGAAUUUGAUUCCUUCAAUAACUUAGAAGUGUUGGACCUGAGUUGGAACGAAAUCGACAAUCUUGUGGUUCCUCAAGGUAAACAAUUAAAAUGUUAUUUAAUUACAUUAUUUUAAUUCAUUUGAUCUGGGAAGGCCAAAAAGGUAAAAAAAAAAUUAAAUAAAGAAACAGAGAAUUUGUAUUAUUUAAAAAACAGAAUGUAAUAAAGAUUUGAUUCUAGUUCUUUAAUCUUUAAAGCGAUUGAAAAACAAUGUUGCUCUUUUCCCAAAGCAUAAAAUACGAAUUGAAUGCCGAUUAACUUAAUCAUUCAUUUUGUUUAGCUCUAAAUUUAGACAAUGAAUUUUUAUAUUAUUUCAAAAACAGGACGUAAUAGAAUUUUUUUUAAAAACAGAUUGUAAUAAAGAUUUGAUUCCAAUUCUUUAAUCUUUACAGUGAUUGAAAAACGAUACUGCUUCCCAAAGCACAAAAUACGAAUUGACUCCCAAUUAAAUUAAUAAUUUAUUUCGUUUAGGUCUAAAUUUAGAAAAAUGAAUUUUGAUUCUCUUCAAUCCUUUCCUAAUUAUUAUUAAUAAACAGGUUACAAAGGUUUGAGGAAGUUGAAAAGCCUUGAUCUAUCGGGAGUUGGAAUUAGAGAUGGAAGCAAGUUGUUACAGUCAAUGGGAUCAUUCCCAUCCCUCAACACUCUUCACCUUUUGUUGAAUAAUUUUAACAAUAUAGCGACAGCUACUCAAGGUAAGUAAAAGUUGGAGAUGUGACCAAAUUUAUAAAUAAGCUGUUAAUUAAUUAAUUAAUUAAUUUUUCCGUAUUAUUAAUUAAGCUAAAUUCCUUGCUCCUUCCUUCUAAAUCUAAACAGAGUUGCACACUUUCACCAACUUGGAAUAUUUGACAUUGGACCAUUCCUCCCUCCAUAUAAGCCUUCUGCAAAGCAUUGCGUCAAUAUUCCCUUCGUUAAAAGAUUUGUCGAUGUUUGAUUGCAAAGUCAACGGUCUUGUACGCGGUCAAGGUAAAAGAAAAGUGUCGAUUGUGAACUCACUCAGUGUUGUCCUACGUGUUCAACAUUUUUAUUUAUUUAUUUUAUUGUUUAAUGUUUCUGCUAGGUUUUCCUCAUUUCAAGAGUUUGGACCAUUUGGACAUGGUUUUCGCGCGCACUGCACUCAACACCAGCUUUCUUCAAAUCAUCCGUGAAUCAAUGCCUUCUCUUAAGUACUUAUCAAUGUCAGAUUCUACUCUUGGCACUAACAGCAGCAGGAUUCUUGAUCAAGGUUAAUAAUAUAAAUAUUUAAUUACACAAACGAAUCACUUAUUAUAAAAGAAUAAUACGCAUUCAUUAAUUUUUAUGUUGUAUUAAUUGAUGAAUUUAAUAAAAUUUCAGGCCUCUGUUCGUUGAUGCAUCUGCAAGAGUUGUACAUCGAUAAUAAUGAUUUGAGAGGUAGCUUGCCUUGGUGCUUGGCAAAUAUGACAUCCCUCCGAAUAUUAGAUGUUUCUUCCAAUCAACUUACUGGAAGCAUCUCCUCAUCUCCCCUCGUUCAUUUGACAUCCAUUGAAGAACUGAUGCUUUCAAACAAUCACUUCCAGAUCCCAAUUUCACUUGAACCACUUUUCAAUCACUCAAGACUCAAGAUUUUCGAUGCUGCGAACAACGAAAUAAAAGCUGAAAUAACUGAGUCACAUUCUUUGACCGCCCCAAACUUCCAAUUACAAGCUCUCUCAUUGUCUUCCGGUUAUGGAGAUGGUGUCACAUUCCCCAAAUUCCUUUACCAUCAACAUGACCUGGAGGAUGUUCGUCUCUCACACGUAAAUAUGGAUGGAGAAUUUCCAAACUGGUUGUUGGAAAACAACACAAAAUUGAGACAACUUUAUCUCGUCAAUGAUUCUCUUACAGGACCUUUCCGAUUGCCAAUCCAUUCACACAGAUGGUUAAGAUUCUUGGAUGUCUCCAACAACAACUUCCAAGGCCACAUUCCAGUGGAAAUUGGAGAUAUUUUACCAAGUUUAAUAUCCUUCAACAUUUCAAUGAAUGCUUUAGAUAGUAGCAUUCCCUCUUCAUUUGGUAAUAUGAAAUUCCUCCAAAUUCUGGACUUAUCCAACAAUCACUUGACUGGUGAAAUCCCCGAGCACUUGGCCGUGGGUUGCGUCAACUUGCAGGCUCUUGCAUUAUCAAACAACAACUUAAAAGGUCAUAUGUUCUCCAGAAACUUUAACCUGACAAACUUGAGAUCAUUACAAUUGGAAGGCAAUCACUCGUAGGUGAGAUCCCACAAAGUUUGUCUAAAUGCUCCUCACUAGAAGGAUUGUAUAUUAACAAUAAUAGUCUUUCGGGUAAGAUUCCACGAUGGUUGGGUAAUCUCACAUGGUUACAAUAUAUUAUAAUGCCCAAUAAUCAUCUUGAAGGCCUUAUUCCAGUGGAGUUUUGUCAGCUUGAUUCGCUUCAGAUUUUGGACAUUUCAGACAACAACAUAUCUGGAAGUUUACCAUCUUGUUUCCAUCCUCUCUCUAUUGAACAAGUUCAUCUUUCAAAAAAUAUGUUACAUGGACAGCUAAAAAGAGGUACAUUCUUUCAUUGCUCUUCCCUGGUGACAUUAGAUCUCAGCUAUAACCGUUUGAAUGGCAGCAUUCCGAAUUGGGUUGAUGGGCUUUCUUAGUUAAGCCACCUUAUCUUAGGUCACAAUAAUCUUGAAGGUGAAGUGCCAGUUCAAUUGUGCGAACUGAACCGAUUGCAAUUGUUAGAUCUUUCUAAUAAUAAUCUUCACGGUCCUAUUCCUCCUUGCUUUGAUAACACCACACUUCAUGAAAGUUACAGCAAUAGUUAUAGUCUUGAUGAGCAAUUUGAAAUAUUUGUUUCCAUCGAAGGCUCUUGGGGAUCGGUAGAAAAGUAAAUCCAUGAAAUUUUUGAGUUCACAAUAAAGAACAUUGCGUACAUUUACCAAGGAAAAGUUCUUAGCCUCCUAUCAGGACUUGAUCUUUCUUGCAACAAGCUAAUCGGUCAUAUUCCUCCUCAAAUUGGAAAUUUGACAAGGAUUCAAACAUUGAAUCUAUCACACAACAACUUGACAGGAUUGAUCCCAUCAACAUUUUCAAACUUGAAGCAUAUCGAAAGUUUGGAUCUUUCCUACAACAAAUUGAAUGGGAAAAUCCCUCAUCAACUUGUGGAGUUAAAGACAUUGGAGGUUUUCAGUGUGGCAUACAAUAACUUAUCAGGCGAAAUUCCAGAAUGGACAGCACAAUUUGCAACCUUCAAUGAGAGUAGCUAUGAGGGAAAUACUUUUCUUUGUGGAUUGCCAUUGCCAAUUUGUAGAUCACCAGCAACUAUGUCGGAGGCUUCAAUUGGCAAUGAACGAGAUGAUAAUUUAAUUGACAUAGACAGUUUCUUUAUCACAUUUACAACAUCGUACGUAGUUGUGAUAUUCGGAAUUGUUAUUGUUUUAUAUGUAAAUUCUUAUUGGCGACGUAAAUGGUUUUACUUUGUUGAAAUGUGGAUAACUUCAUGUUACUAUUUUGUUGUAGACAAUCUUAUUCCAACAAGAUUUUGUCAUUAAAAUUAAUUAGUAGUUUAAUUACGAUUCUUUAAGUUCUAAUCAAGUUUGCUUAGGAAAUAAAUUUAUUUUUAUUUUUUAUUAAAAUUGUAGUAGUAUUUAGCGUUACAUAGCUUCCAACUUCCAAGCACUUCACAUUUGUCUCUACACUUCCAAACCCAUAUCUAUCCACCAUAACUUAUACUUCCCUAUACUGUGCAGCCUACUUAAAUAAGAGAACCAUCUCCAAUGUUAAAACCAGCCACUCUAUAACAUUCAUUUAGAAACUAUAUUUAGAAUAGUUUUAUUAUCAUACACAAGAAAUGAAACACCUAGAUGCACUUGAUCGCCUAUUUUACUUUAAAAAACAAUAAUUAUCGUGCUAUCAUCAUCUUCUUCACUAGCAACAUUAACACCAAAUCCAGCGAUGGACCCAGACAUUUAAUCAAGAAAGGUAUAUAUAUAACAAAGUUGAAGCUUGACAAAAAAUUCAGGAAGAUUAAUGCCUCGGUAUAUAUAUAUAAUAAAGUUGAAGCUUGACAAAAAAUUCAGGAAGAUUAAUGCCUCGCCACAACAAGGGGCACAACAACAUCAAAGUAGAGAUGAAGCAAUAUUCUCAAAGCUAAAACUCUCAAAUCCACCCACCAGAAUUUCAUAUCUCCUCGACAAUUUUAAGAACUAAAGAUAAUUAGGAUUUAACAUUAGUUUUUUAUAUAUUAGUUUCAUAAUUUACAAAUCAAUGAAGAUGAAGAUUAUGCUAAUGAAUUCAAAUUAUACCAUACAUUCUAUAGAUGUUACCAAAAAUUUCUAAGUCAAUCCCACAUAUUUCAUAAUUUUAAGACUAGAAAAUUUCAUUAGUUAGAAGUUUCAUUACCUUCAAGUGGAAGAUGAAGAACAUUAUACAAGUGAUUCAGAUUAUAUCAUACAUACUCCAAAUGCAACUAGAAAUUAACAAGUUCAUGCGCACAGAUUUCAUAACAUUAUGAUUGGAAAGUUUCACAAAGAGAAAUUCUAAAUUCAAUCUCUUGCAUCAAGGUAGUUUGAUUGAUUUGAGUUACUUUCUGAUCAAGCUACUAAUAUAACAUUCAAGUUAGGGAGAAAGUAAAUUAAAACUGGGAAGAAAUAACAGUAAAAAUUUGUUGCUAAACAUGAUGUGUAUUUUUUUUAAGGCAAUUUGGAAACACAGUUGUUACUACAGAUAUUCUCCUCAACUUGGAGACAAAUACAAAUAUUAAAAUGCAUAUGAUCGCACAUACUACUUGGAGCUUAGUAAGAUUUCAUUAAAAGAAGCAAUCAAACCACUUAUCAAUUGUCGCAAUCGUUCUAUAAACUAAAAUAGCAAUAUAAUACAAGAAAAAGAACAUAUAGAUACUCGGCAAGAGUUCAUUAAGAAGUCGCAUCACAUUAGGGUGAGGAGUUUGCUUCUGAUAUCUUGCUAGCUGGGGCUUUUUCUUGUCUUUCUACGUAUGCCGAGGGAAACCAACCAGCUAGGCCCUUGCAUUCACCUUCCGACCAUCCAGUAGGAGCCACCUUGAGAAGUUAUAACUAAAACGGUGAAUUAAAAAAAAGUUGACAAUUCAAAGACCUAAGGGGAAAACUAAUUCUUUUACGUAGAGGAAGUGAACUAGUUGUGAUCACUGAAAUAAAAAAAUAACUAUGGAAGCAUAACAAGAUAUAAAUUCACAUGUCUAUAAGGGUAAACAGGGUGGUUUAGAACUGAGCUAGCAACCCUACUAUAUUCUGAUUUGCACUUCAAUGUAAAAGGGAAUAUAUGGUAGGAAGAAAAAAAACCAACCAUCAUUUGUUAACUUAUUGCUUUUCAAUCAAAAUUUUAAGAACAAAAUGCCAUGUGCUUUGAACAUCAAAUAAGUAUAAGCAUUAGUUCUAAAUUCCACAUAUUAUAAGUUGUUAGAAGGAUAAGUUAAUAGCAUAGUAGAAAAAUCUAUGUGUUGGUAUUUAGAGGGGAAAGUACCUGGCGAACCACAACAUAAUCAUCAAUUGAAAGACUUAGCUCUCCAUUUGCUUGAUCAUCAAAUGGAUGUAUAACCUGCAAGAUAAUGGGAUAAAUAGAACUUAAAAAAAGCAUAACAAAAGCAGCAACAGCAGCAGCAGCAUUCAUUGUAACCACUAUGAUCAUGGCCAACAAAGAUAUAUUAGAAACAAAAUUCCAUUUUUACUACGACUUUAAUAUGUACUAUACGAUAUCAUGACGAUUGGGUUAUCAAGUGCUAUCAAAGUCUAAUAAGUUCUGUAUAACUUUAUAUAGUUAUUUUAAUUAUGGAUCAAAUUUUAAAUUUGAAAUUUUGACUGCUCUCCACAAAAUAUGGCCUAUGCACAAGAAAGUCAUAGAUAAUGAGGAUUACAAGUGUCCGACAUCUUUUGAGUGAUGGAUUUAACAUGAGAGCUUAUGGUCAGUCAAUUUCCUCUGCCUAGCAAUAUAAGCUUUCUCGGCCAGAUUUAUCAUCAAAUACAUAGAUUGCCCCCAAGUCACAUCCAUAUAAACAUAGUUUUCUAGGUAAACCAAGUAAGGAGAAUCAUAAUUUAGACAUAAUCAUAAAAAGGCCCAUCUAACUUAAGAGAAAAUCUCAAAAAGAGGGAUGUUGAGCUAUCAGUCUUGUAUCUAUAAGCAAUAUCAAGACUUUACAUCACCUGCUACAUCGUGAGUGGCUACACAACUUUCAGUGGUUUGUCUUUCUUUGGCAUGCCUAACUCAGCUUUGAUGUUGCUGAGAUAUUGAUAGUAGAGACACAUGAUACUUCUAGCUCAUGCAUUUUAUCUAGCUCAUCCGACAACUAUUUCUUUUUUAAUUCAUUAGUGUUUGCUAAACCUCAUGCUCAAAAGUCCUGUUCUCCUAAACAAAGUUUCCUAAGAAUGACUUCCUCAACACAACAUUUGGACACUUUUAGAGCAAUUUUAUUUGGAGGAAAAGAAUUUUCAAGGUGUUAACUAAUAAAUUUUAAAAUAUAAUUACAAUUUGUCCUACGAUCAUAUGACAAUUUAUUUGGGAUGAAAGGAUACAGACAGACAUCUUCCACUUUCAAGACUAAUCACUACUUCCGUAGAUGUUGUGCAAUGAUACAAAUACUUGACCAGAUGGUAGUGAUGGUAGAAAAAAAUUUAUUGCUCCAAAAUUAAAAUAAGAAUGCAAUAUGUUAAGCAAAAGACUGUGCAACAUCAAAUUAAUUGAUGAGUUUGUAAUUCAGUAAAUUAACAACUUUCAUGGUAAAAUACAACAAGUUUCUUUUAAAAAAAAUAAAUCUUAAAAGACAGCAUUCAUUUUUGUGCGCAUGUUAUUUCUUAAGAUUUUUCAGGAGGAGGGCAAUAGAGGGACUUUCACCUAUGCAAGAGAGCAGAAGCCUUACUUUUGCUAUAAAGUAGACGUCAUUCUGAUUAAUAUGCGUUUGAAUCAGCUCCGUUUGCUAUAAAGUAGACGUCACACAUGAGGCAUUUACAUCCAUUUCCAAAGUCACAUGUUGCGAGGAGGACUCAUUUGAUUGCUCCUCUAGGAUCAUCUAAUGCAAGUAGUAAGGGUUGGAAGAAAAUAAAAAGUCACAAUUAUUCUUUUGCGUAAGUGAGACGAAAAUGAUAAAUGCAAUAUUAUCAGCAGUAAACAAGAAGAGAACGCUCCAAGGAAUAGAUAGAUGCAGACAAGCAAGUUAAAAUGCAUAGUCCCAAACCUCCGCAUACAACUUCUCUAAAAUAGCAAUAACGUGUUGAUGAUAUGUUUUCUCAGCAUCUACCUGCAAAGGCCCGAGACCAGGAAAACGGCAAUAAAACCACUAGCUAAAGGAGAAAGUAAAGAAAGAAAUACACUUGACAUAAAUCUUGACAAGAAGCACAGUUUAAACCCCAAUCAUAUUGUUUAGAACUACCAUUCGUUAUUGUAACAUUUCGAACAAGUGUUGACUUAAUUCAACAUUGUUGGAAAGAUAGGCUUUUAAAAGCGGAAGAAAGCCACUCAAACCAAAGUGAUUGUCCUUGUAUUGAUCAAGGGAUGUAAACAUAUUACAUUUGCAGGAUAAGUUUUAAUUAAUCACUCCCCUGAUUUAUUUGGGUUGCAGUUUAAUUUGUGAAUUUCGUUAUUGUAACAUUUCGAACAAGUGUUGACUUAAUUCAACAUUGAAAAAUUAUUCAAUAAAUUAUGCAAACAUUAAAAUAGAGGACAUAUUAAAAAGUUUCUAAUUACAAUGUUAAUAUUUCCUAUAUUUUAGCAUUUGCAUAUUUUAAUUUAUUUAAAAGCUACGUCGAUCAACUUUGGGCGUGAAGAUUUUAGCUUCUACGAGACUUGAUUGGAAUAUGCAUAAGGAAGAGUGUUAAAAUAUGAUGCAUCCAACGAAAGACAAACCACGUGUAGUCUUUUAAUUAAGCCAAAGUAGCAGCUCAAACAAAUGACACUUGGACCAACAUGCAAUCAUGAAGUGGCCGGAAAAAGGACAAAUGCAACUUUGGCUUAAAUAAAAAAUAACAUGUGACUUGACUUUUGCUGGACAUGCAUCAUGUUAUUACAAGACAACAGAAAUCAGUAUGAUAGUACUAAAAGUUGACAAUAACAUGAAGAUAAGAGGCAGAAUAUCAACACAUGCAUAGGCACACACAAGGAAGUAUUAACUUAUAUACCAUAGCAAAAAGUCUUUGAUAUGUCAUCUGUUGCUGCUGUGAUUCAACUGACAGCAUGGCAGUUGUCGCUUCUCUACCAAGAGCCAUUAUUGUAGAUUUAAGCUCGGUCAAUCUUGCUUCUGCAUUUCGAAGCUUCACAGCACUCUCUGCUGAUAUAUCAGAUUCCCUAAUCUUUGAUCGGCGCCUAAAUACUUCAGCUGCCUGGUGAAAAUAUUCAAUAUAAAUCUAACAUAAUUCUAAUCUUGCCUUAUACAUGCAUAUGUUAACUCAAAGCUUACCUGGGCUUCAACUUCAUGUCGAAGUUUGUCAUAACGAUGAGUCAGGUGUCGAGCAUCUUCCAAAGGUGCUCCGUUGAUUAACGCCCGUAGUGGCUCAGAUACCUACAUGUCCAAAAACCUGUAACAUAGUUAGAAAAAUGAAAAGAAAGAGCGAAACCUCAAUUAAAAAGUUCCUCCAACAUAAUCAUGGAAUUUGGGCCUACUUCAAGGACAUAUAUAAGGAUAAUUUAUGCAAUUUUGGGUCUUAGGAUGAUUGGCAUUAGGUUAGUGUUCUUCUCUUCUGUAUUUAAGGUUAAAAUAGAAAUAAACCUAUGAAAAUAUCUAAAUUAGGGCUGUAAGACUUCCACAUGCAUCCUUCAGUCUCAUGGAUUUGAUUUUACUAUAGAUGCAAGUGUCUUUAUCGAAAAUGCUUGGAGUCAAUUGAGAGAACUCACGGCCAAUAACUUGUCACACGCUAGUCUUUGCUAGUGAUGUAAGAAGUCACAAGGUCUCUUCAACAUUUGAACCCAUAAAAUUAUUAAGUCAUGGAUGUCACUAGCAAUGAUUUUAAUAUAAAACAUUAAAUAUUUCAGAGUUGUAACGUUAAAAUUCUUUUAUUCAAUAUCUUAGAACUAAGUUUCCUUAUGAGAAGAUAAUAGUUUCAGUAGUAAUUUACAUAUAAUUUUCUAUAUUUGAAUUAUUUUCUAGUUAGGGAUGAACUAACCUGAUCACCAAGAAUCCCAAGCAAAGUUUCCCUCUCAUUUUCCAUCAAAUCAUGUGAAGUGCCAAAUUGAAGAGCAGCUCUUGCAACGCAAGAAUUGUCACUUUGAUUCUCCGCUCCAUACUUGCAACAAUCUUCAGCCAACUUUCUCGCUACAAUAUUUGAAUACAAAAAUAUUGUGCACAAGAACUAGUCAAGAAAAAAAAAAUCAAAUAUUAUAACGAAUGCAAGAGCAAACAAACAACCUAUUUCCAUUUGUUUCAAGCUUACUGCAACAAGCCCUUCAAUGCCACGAACAAUAUUCCUCUGAAAAUGCUGCGCUACAGAGCAUAUAUUCCAAAUUAUUGUUCAGAUAAAACCAUAGAAACCAUCAUAAUUAUUCAACAUACAUUAAGCUCCGUUUGGUAAAUACUUGCAACUUCAGUCUAGAGAAUACAGUUCUAUAUAUGUAGCAGUCUAAAGGAGGAUGGUGCCUUAGCUGCCCUGGUGGAAUUGUAUAGAUUUUGAAGUUGUUGGUGACACUCAAUUUCAGCUUCAUCAACUGCCUGUACAAAUCAUAAAAAACUAAUGAAAAAAAUAAAUAAAAUCGAGAAAUUUCACUAAUUAAAAGUCUAAAUAUAAUUUUAAAAAAGAAAGAAACGCACUUGGUGCUGCUUGGCGACUUGUUCUCGGAGCUUGAUUGCCUGUUUCUUGAUAGCUUCCAUACUGUUUCUUUCAAAAAGCGGCGACGGCUCAGCUCAUGGAAGUUGGGGAAAAAAAAAAGUGUGAUCAAGAAAAUAAAAAGGCAUAUUAUUGUUGACAAAAUGUGAAAAUAAAAAAGAAAAAAGAAAAUUAUAAGUUUGAAAGGAGAAGAUGAUAGUGGAAGAGUGCGGCGUGGCUGCCAGCUACUUGGAUUGUAUUGUCGGGUAAGGUAAUUGUAGAAAAUUAUAAGUUUGAACAGAGCAUGUUAGACUUUUGUUGACCAAAUUCAAAAGGCAAAUGGUACGGCCCAGAAGCUUUGGAAUACAGUAACUUACAAGAAAGCUCCAUUUAUUCUUCUUAUACUUUACGCUUGCAUCAGCUUAAAUCACUUCUUAAUCGCUUGCUUUAACUGCGCCGCUUUGUACUGUUCUAUAUAUGUAGCAGUUAUGCGGAUGUAGUUCACGGCUGAGGGUACGUGUUUGUUUGACGUGGUAGUUACGUUACGACGUUACGAGAGUAUUAUUAGUUAUUUCACAGGGAUAAAUAAGAUUAGUCACAAUAAACCCACUAGUUUUAUAAAAUUCGAGUAAUAUAGAAUAAAAUAAAAAAUGAAUACAAAAUUGACUUUUAUUUUUUAUGGUUGACUAUAUUUUGUGUUCUCUUCUGGUACUACUACAAUUGUUCCCUGUAUAUCACUCAUACCCAUAUAUCAUUGACACAAGAAAUGAAAUCUAAUGUCAGAUGUUUAGUUAAAGAAUCACUUAUGAAAAAAUUUUACCAUUUUGAUUUGAGGAUCCCUAUUUUGAACUGCAAGCUAAUGUUCAUCAAGAACAGAGUAUGGCAGUUGAGUAGAAAAACUAUUUUUGGACAAAUUGUUUUUAUUGAUAGAAGAAUUUCUCAAGGGACUACUAAAAUUAUUAAAAAAAAAUGUCAAACACGCCCAUAUAUCAUCAACACAAUUGGUUUUGAGAAUCCAUACUUUAAACUGCCGCCUAAUAUUCAUCAAGAGCAGAGCAUGGCUUGUGAGUAGAAAAUUUUCUGAUUUUGGCCCCAAAUAAUCCAGCACUUUCUCAUGAAGAAAUGCAUACAAAGCAUACCAUGGUACCAUACAAUACAAGGAGUCUCCGUUCUCUAGUUUUUCAAACUCUAAAGGGGCCAAUACUCCCUAAUUCCCCCUCGAAAAUUCUGAUUAUGACAUUAUUCAUCCCUCGAUGCAAUCAAAGUAGUGACAAAGUUAGGAAAAAUAUGAGUCCUAAGUAAUUGCUAGGCAGGGCUCCUGUGAGCAAAAUUGUCCUAAGCAUUAUAUGCAUACAUGGUGUGGUACAUAAAGCACAAUGAAUUCCACACUAUAACACAAACCCAGAAAGAGAAGAAACAACUUAAUUGAUGUAAAGACAAAAAGAAGAUAAAAUGAUAUAGAAAAAAAAAUUCAAAGAGAUAGCAACAUACUAUAGACUGAAGCCACUUGAUCUGCUCAUUGAUUGCAGCCUUAAACUUGCAAAUAGUUACCGUAAGCUAGUGCUAUAAGAAGUGAAAAUGAUGCACACCCUGAUUCCCUUCGACUUCCAUUUACUGUCAAACAUUCUAUUAAUACAAAAAAAUUGUUCAAAUAUCUUGCCAUAAAUAUAGCCGUUUGACUGGCUUAAUAAAGUCACAAAUAACCAUUCAUAUUGAUCCACAGUGUCACACCGCCUGCUUUAUGCAUACAACAGCUGUAUGUAUACCAACUCCUAACCUUAUCAAUACAUUUGGCAAAAACUUAAGAAGAAAACUAUUUCUCCAUCUCUUUUUUGAAAUUUCACAAUAAACCAGCAUAUUGUAAACGUUAUGUUGUAACCUUAUGAUAAAUGCUCUAGACUCCAAAUGAAUUUUAUAUAUGAGGGUUUGUUGCAGCAGAUAUAUUGACUUAUCAAGUAUGAAUCAUUGUCUAGAAGAACUAUCUUUAGAUAAAAGAAUAUUAGAACCAUUCUAGAAUAUCUUUAGGUUGCUAGUUCUAACAGGAAUCUGCAUGUGGCAACAGUUGCCAGAUCCACAAUUCCCCAACUUGAAAUACAUAGUUGCACACCGUGAGAUAGUGCUGCAAUCUACUGAGAUCUAACUUAUAUGAUACUUUAAGCUACUAAUGUUUGCAUAUUUCUACAUGUUAAAUUGACACUACCAUCUAUAAUCACUCUAAAACGACAGAUGAUAAGCAGCUUUUGGCUACUUAUUACUAGCAUCCACAAUUAAUUUUUGUUCAGCAAUCAGCUUAUUUUAUAGAAAUUGAUUUAGUCAGCAACAAACACUAUAAUCCUUGAAAUUAGUUCUUGUUCUUUGUAAUUUUCUAUGAUUUUUCAUACAUCAAUUAAUCUGCAGUGCCAAGAUGAGGUUUGGUUUUUCAAACUAAAUAAUCAAGUAGCAAAAAUACAAAUUUAGAGAUUAGGGGGUGAACUAGCUAGGUGGUUUACAAAUAUUCCUAUUUGUAAGGUGAAUUAAUUGAAUCAUGAGAAAACAAUGUGACCAUAGCUCAAUAUGAGAUGAUUUCGGAGAGGCAUAUUGUUUUCAAGUGAAUUUGAUCCAUUAAGAGAUGAAGUGGAUUGAAGUGGAAAGUUUAAAUAACAAAUCCUUGUUCUUGAGUUUUACGACGUUGUUACUCCUUCAGGUGGCAGAUUAUGCAAGUGAAUUCAAAAACACAAUGCAUCAAUCACGGGGAUGCUACACCAAAAGACGGGAUCAUAGUCUAUGCAUUGAACAGUUACAGUUGCUGCUACCAAUUGACUCGGCAAAGAUCAAGAAGACUGAACGGGAAGUUAAUGCCAUCAAUGUCGUCUUCACUAUAGCUGCUGGGAAUGUAGGUGAACUUUCCUCAUUUGCGGCUGUCUAUACAUAGGCUUUUCCCCAGCUUAAGUACAAAUAAAUGAACCUGCUUUGAAGGCUUUAUUAUUGACCACAAUAAGGAUUACUAAUUGAAGAAGACUAUACGGAGUUAAUCCCACACUUUCGUUCUCUCAAUUUCUUUCAGAAGUGCCUCUGAAAAUAGCUGCCAAACCGUUAGUCAGCUUGUUAGACUCUGUUUUCUGGAAACAGAGCCCUAACUAACUGACUGUACAGAGUAAGUCAACAUAGCAUAUUUAAUCGUUUUAAUUGAAUUGUCUUCGUAGCGAUCAUCAACAAACUCAUCAUGAGAUUUUUGAAGCACCCAAGGACUAUCACUGGGUUUCUCUUCUGGUUGAUUAAUUAAUUAAUCAAAGAACGGUUGGAUACCCAAGGACAAUUAAAAUUAUUCGACUUCUGGAACUGGGAAUGAAGUGCAAUGAUGGAGCAAAAUUUACAAUGUCUCCGGUUUCUCCUACCAUCGGACUUUUGCAGUGAGAACAUAUAACAAAAAGGCCUUCAUCAAAAUUUGUAGACUCCGGGUAUGGAUUGGAUCGAUUUUUUUGUUUGAUAUUGAAGAACCUCUUUACUAUCGCGAUAUAGAUUAUGUGCAAGGAGUUGUCUACUGUUCUUUGCCUUGUGCUAUGAUCGGUGCUCUUGAGGCUGCCCUGAAACACAGGAAAAUACUUCGAUAUCCUCCGUUCGAUGAUGCAAAGAACCGGUUAAUGUAUGAUUACCUAAUUGACUCAGGAUCAGGUAACAACAACAACAAUUUAUUAAUAUCACAAACGAAGAAGAUCGCGGAGAGGGAGAUGUAUGCCUAUACUGUUUACAGGUUUGAUCCAUUGGGGAUGAAGUGGUCUCAAGUCGAAAGUGAUUUAUUAAACAACAAAUCAUUGUUCUUGGGUUAUACCUCAUGAUGUCAUCAAGUGGAAGAUUAAGAUUAUGCAAGACGAAGAUCGUUUGAUAUUGAAGAAUUUGAACAGAAAGCCCAUAGAAAGUACUUAAAAAAGCAUAUUCUUGUUGGGGUAGAAUAUUGAGAAAGGAGUUGUCUACUGUGUGUUGCGUGAUUAUGCUAUGAUCUGUGCUUUGAACAUUGCCCUGAAAACAGUGGAAAAUACUUCAUAUCCUCGACAUGAUGAUAAAAAAUUGGUUACCGAUUACGUAACUGACUCAGGUGACAACAAUCCAUUAAUAGCACAAUUUGAGGUGAUGCCGUUUAGGUAUAUGGUUAACAGGUUUGAUUCAUCAAUGAUGAAGUGGGCUUAAAUUAAAAGAUCAUAUAAUAAGUCGUUCUUCUUGGGCAUAUCGUCAUUACUACUUCAAGUGAUCAAAGAUGAAGAUGAAGAUGAAAAUUGUGCAAGUGAGUUCAAGAAUACCAUACAUCGUUACUUGGGAUACUUCUUCAAAUAUGGAUGGGGUCAUAAUUUACUCCCACGAAUUUCAACCCAAUUUUAUGAUUGGAGUGUCCCACCAUGACUCAGAAAAAUUUUGAUUCAACCUCCUCCACCAAUGGAUUUUGAUUAGUCACUUUGUGAUCAAGCAACUUAAUUAAACUCAGAGAGUCAGAGUUCGAUUUUGCUGGCACCGCAUUUUCUUUAAAAUGUGGCCAUGUAAGGAGAGCGGCACAUAAUGUCACUUCCUUAUCAAGCACUUUAAAGAGGGAUUUUAGAAGAAGAUACAACUGCAAUUGUUUUCGUAUGUAUAUAUAUAAACAACAGCACACAUUCAGUUCAUAAAAGAAAUUUUUGCUAACCAUGAUAUGUGGUAGUGCUUUUUAGGCAAUUUAGAAACAGAGUUGUUCAACUUACAGCAGGUAUUCUCCUCAAGUUCGACGUAAAUACAAAUAUUAAUUAGAAUCCAUAUUAUAAUGACACACAUAACUUGCUUCAAAAUUAUCAGAAAUUAAAAUUGCUGAUUCAUAAUGCAGAUAACUUGGAUGAAUUGAUGUUAAAGGAAAAAUCACAGGCAUAACUUGGAGAGCAAUUGCGACAGCAGCCAAGUAUAUAUUUUUAUUUGAGAGUUGAGAAGAAUAUAUUUAAUGAAGCUUGAUAACAUUUGAUGGGAUAGCAAGUAAGGGUAAAUAAGAUAUUUUUAUUUGUUAUUUAUUUGAAUUAUAUCUAUUUUGUUCAAGUUAAAAUACUAAAUAUAAAUUGGAGGUAGACAUUUUAACAGAUCAUCUAAGCUCUCAAAUCUGAAAUUUUGUGUAGAUUUAAAUUCAUAAUUUUAGUUAAUUUUCAUUCAUUCAUAUAAACAAAUUUAUGAGAUUUUUCUUUUCAGCAUGUUAUAUUUUGAAACUUUCAAUGUAUUAUUCUAGCUUUAUUUAAACAAUUAAUUUAUUUAAUUUUGAAUUUGAUCAGUAGUAAAAUUAUUUUUAUAUCAAAUUUUUUUUAUUUAAAUAGUUCGUGGAUUGGACAAAAUUAAAAAAUUUUAAUCUACAAAAUGGUGGAUUAGAUAUGAAUUGGGUUAAAUCCACAUUCGAUUUGCAGUCGUAUGAAUUUGAUUUGGAUUGAAUUUCAUCAAUCCAUGGAUUAGAUUGGAUUGAAAAUUUAUUAUCCGCAAAAUCGUGGAUCGAAUAUGGACUGAUGUCCAAUCAGCAAAAUCCGAUCCCCGAACACGCCUCUAUCAAAAUUUUCAAGAAUAUGUUUUAUCUUACAAAUUUUUUUUUAAAGUCAUAAUCUAAUGGCAGCCCAAUUUUAUAAAGUCACACACAACCAUUCUUAUUAAAUUAGAAAGAUCAAACACUGCACUGGAUCUUGAACAGAUCAACACAAGUUGCACAACUUGCGAUUGAAUCCGGCCUGAAACAAUCAACUCUUUAGCAAGAACAAUUAAUCAGAGUCAAGAAACAAGUUUAAUGAAUAUAAACCUAUAAUUGAAACAAACAUAGCAAAGAAAAAAAAUACAGAUUUUACACGGUUCAGUUGUACCUAGGAUGGCACAACCUACACCACGAGAGAAGCUUUCUGGUGAGAUUUUAUUGAUGAUCAAAGAAGAAUCUUUUGACAAAGCUAAUAAUAGAGAUUUCAGAGAAUAAGCUAUAACCUCUCUCCCUCUUCAAUCUCUCUCUAUUUUGUUCCCAUUGAUGACCCCAAUCUGCUUAGUUAGCCAGCUUUAUAGCUGCAUCAGUAACAAACCAGCAAACCCAGAUUGAGCAGAUUGACGACACGUGGAUAACGGCUUUAACGAACCUGGUUAAGAACUGCUCACAUGUUCGUCACGCGUACUGCUUAAAUGAUGGCCAAAACGACUUCAAACAAAUGUCGUUUUGAGGCUUAUGAAUUACAAGUGAUAACACGAGAUUGUCUCAUGACUUUUAAAUGCAACAACGUGCCCAAAACGCUGUCGUUUUACUCUGUUGAGUUUGAUUCAUUACUAAGCUUUACGACUGGCAAUGGAGAAGAUGAUAAUUUAAUUGAUAUGGACAGUUUUUAUAUCACUUUUACAAAAUCCUAUGCAAUUGUAAUAUUGGGAAUUAUUGAUGUUUUAUAUGUGAAUCCUCAUUGGCAAAAACUAGUGGUUUUAUCUUUGUUGAAAUGUAGAUUACCUCUCGUUACUAUUUUAUUAUAAACAUAUAGUUUCGUAAGUGAAACUAUAUAUUUAUAAUAAAANNNNNNNNNNNNNNNNNNNNNNNNNNNNNNNNNNNNNNNNNNNNNNNNNNNNNNNNNNNNNNNNNNNNNNNNNNNNNNNNNNNNNNNNNNNNNNNNNNNNCAUUUCUGCCUCAUUAAGAUUCUCAAAUACCAGUCAGGUUUGCUUAAGAAAUAAAAUUUUUCCAUUAAAAUUGCAGUAGUAUUUCCAAGCAUAUCGCAUUUUCUAUGAUUUUUCAUAAAUUAAUUAAUCUGCGGUGCCAAUAUCAGAUUUAGUUUUUCAAACUAAAUAAUCAAGAAAGCAAACAUACAAAUAUACAGUUUAGAGGGGUAAACUAGGCAGGUGGUUUAGAUUUUAGAACUAAGGCAGCUACCUCACUAAAUUCCGAUUCGUACAGUGAACUGCAAGAAAUUGAGAAAACAAUGUAUUUAUAAUUUAAUAGAAUCAUAACAGAUGAAGUGGAAUGAAGUUGAAAGUUUAAAUAACAAAUCCUUGUUCUUGAGUUUUUACGACGUCGUUACUCCUUCAAGUGGCAGAUUAUGCAAGUGAAUGCAGAAACACAAUGCAUCUUCCGCGGGAUGAUACAUCAAAAGGCGGGAUUUGUUUAUGCCUUCAGAUUAGCAAUUUCACUCAUAUAGAAAAUUAAUUUUUUAUAUAUACUAAUCAACACUAAAUUGAUUAUGUGUUGUAUGUUUAUAUGCUAAUCAACACGAAAUUAUAUUGAAUUAUUAACAUUCAUAUUCCUAAUAAAAAUUAUUUUCCAUUAGUAUUCAAAAUUUUCACUUAUAGAAAAUGCAUUUUACGUGAAUACUAGUUAUUGUGUAAAUUUGAAUGAUAGCAAAAAAUAAACCUAUUUGAAAACUGUAAGGGUGUGUUGGGAUAUUUUACAACUGUCGGAAUCUGGUAGGAUAUUGCACCAUUUGCCCAAUAUUUUUAGACGUACUCUAACCGGUAUUCAAGAUAAGUAAAAUUUACAAGCGUGGCAAAAUAAAAAAAAUUAAAUUCGUAAUUUGUAAACGAAUUUUCCUGACAUGUAUAGUAGAUGAAGUUGUUGACCCUUUCUUUGGAUUAUUUCAGCUCUGGUUGUUGGUCACCGAUGAGCCGAAGUCUUAUUUUAAUUCUAUUUAAACUCAUCAUAAGAUUCGUGGAGCACCUAACUAACUUAACUGACUGUGCAGAGCAUCUCAACAUGGCAAAUUUAACCAUCAUUCAAGUGAUGGGUUUAAUAAGACUGCUUUUGUUCUACCAAGUUCCUCCGCCUCUAAGCAGAAUUACUAUUGAAGGGCCAAAUGGAAAAUGAAAACGUGUGAACUCCAACAACCACCCCACAAAUUCAAUGACGAUGCUCGGAGAGGGUUAGGUUGGGCCUCUGAGAAAAAAAAAAAUUAUUUAGUUAAAAAGUUACCCUUAUUGAAACCUGUAUAAAAAUUUUAUAUUAAUUAGUUAUGUUGCCUCUUCAACUAUGAUCAAAUUUUUAUCUGAGCUCAUCAUUUAAUGAGUAAACAUGUAUUUUAAUGAUCUCAAUUAAUAUUUAGAACAAAUAUUUUAAGAAGUAAAGCUCAUUAUAUCCCCCAUUAUUAUGUAUCUCUGUAAUGUAUUGAAUUAGAAGAAAAAAAAAAUUCAACUCACUCAAAAAAAAAAAAAUGCUGGUAGCUUCGUAAUAAUUACUGUCUUGACUGCACCAGAUAAAGUUUUGUAAAAGAAUUCUGAUAUUUACCCCGGGUCAAACCCCGAAAAUAACUUAAACGGUGUCGUUUUGAUUUUUUUUUUUUUUAUACUCCAAAACGUUCUUACCAUUUCCGUUUCACUUACCAUUUAAUGCUCACAACUCAAAUAAAAAGCCCAGAAACUAGAAUCAAACUUUACAGAAACUAGAAUGCCCAGAAACGUUGUAUAGCAGGAACGUAUGUAAAGAGAGUAAACAAGAGGGAUUAAACAGAACAUACGUUUUCUUCACUUAUUAUUAGCAACAAACACCCUACACAACACACAUUUAAUGCUCACAACUCAAAUAAAAAGCCCAGAAACUAGAAUCAAACUUUACAGAAACUAGAAUCAAACAAUACACAUUUCAUUUCUUCAAGGUUAGGGAGAGACUCAGGGGAGUGAUUAAUUAACAAAAAUAAGAAUAAUAAUACCAACAUUUGUACAGGUCAAAUAAGAAUAAUAAUACUCAACCUAAUACCCAGUAUAUACAAACAAAUGCCCAGGCCAUCGUUCCUAUUUUGCCAUAACCUAAAGAGGAAAAAGCGAAGCACUACCUCAGGCUGUGAACUUUGCCGCUUCGUGAGUUUAAUUUCCCGAACAAGUUUCGGCUACCAGCGUUACCAGUGUUGACGGUGACCGUGGCUGUCAGCGUUGACGGUGACCGUUGGUGGAUCCCGAAUGCCUGGACCUUGGUCGAGGAAGGAAAGUAACGAAUUUUUUGAACAAACGAAGAAACGAAGCACCGAAGAGAUUUACGGUCAAACGGAACAAGACCAACUUGCUCUUCUAUCUAUGGCUUUCCCAGUUGAAACGAAGAAACGAAGAGGAAGAGGUUUAAUUCUUCUCAAAAUCGUCCAUCAGAAACGGCAACGUUUUGGAGUAUAAAAAAAGAAAAAAAAAUCAAAACGACGCCGUUUAAGUUAUUUUUCGAGUUUGACCCAGGACAAACAUCAUUUUCCUUUGUAAAAUAAUAAGUUCUCAUUAGUGGUUUUUAAUUUUUAAUUUUUUUUUCGGCACACCUGAUCAAGAAUUCUAUUUUGUUAACUAAUAAAUUGCAAAGCAUAAGUGUUGAACGGUACAAAAAAAUUUGAAAAAAAACACUUAAAACGUAGGGAAAUGAGAAAUAUAGAAAGAAAGGAAGAAAGUUAAGACAUGAAACUGAUCUGCCGUGAAAUUGAUAAUCAUGUUUCUAUUUCGUUAACUAAUCAAACGGAAAACUGGAACUGUAAACAAACAUUAACACGUGUGGACUCUGCUAGCUGCCCUACAAGUCUACAAUAAUAAUUGAGUACCUUUGAUUCAUCCUUCUACGAAUUUCUAGCUGUAUUGACCCCAACUGCUAAAGUUUUGUAAAAUUAAAAAAAUAAAAAAUAAAAACUGGAAUUUCAACAAAAUUCAAAACGUGAGAAAUUUAAUUUUUGGCCAUGUGGAACAAAAUGUAAAUUACGGAAAAAGUAUAAAUCUCAAUUGCUUAGUAUGGUUAGGUUUUGUGAGCAUCACUAGAAAGUGAAAACUAUGAAUGAUAGGGGUGAUGUUUGCAACAUGAAUAAACGAUGAACUGAAUCAAUUGAUGAUCGUAAUUAUAUAAUGAACAAAAUUUACAAAAUCAACAAAAGUUAAUAAAAAUUUAUUUUAAUAAUAAAAAAUAAUAAAACUUAUUAUUUAACGGCGCUCUAACCAUGGAGUGCCAUAAUCAUAUUCUUCUUUUAAGAAAAUUAUAACUUAUUUCAAAUAGCACCAUAACAUAAUUCUAGAUAUUUAAAAGAAAAGCAUUAUCCACCUGAAAUGACUUGAAGUCUAAAGAAAAAGAGAGAGUGGCUCCCCACAAUUUUCUUGUUUUCAGUAUAUUUUCUUUUUUUUUUCUUUUUAAAAUCUUUUGACGCAUACAUAAUCUACCCUUGUUCAUUAUCUCUAUUUUGCUCUGUUCAAGUCCCUUUUUUUCAAAUCUUAGUUUAAAUAAGAAAAUUGAAUAAAAGUACAUUUGUGUAAUUAAUUAGUAUCUGUUUUUUUUGGGGGGGGGGGGGGGGGGGGGGGGGGGGGAGGGGGAGGAUAUUUGGUGUAAUGUUUUGCUAUGUAAGACUCAGCUAUUAUUAAACAGUUCCUUAACCUGUUUCGCAGUUUAUUUGCUAUCUUUGUGGAUCUCAUAGGCGUUGCAGAAUUUAAUAAUUUUAUUCGUCAGAAGAAUAGGAUACUGACUUCAAUAAAUUUAAUUUAAACCAACUUUUAUUUACUCCAUCAAUUAAUUAAUGCCAUUUUGUUUUGAAAAAUUCAAUAAUUAAAUUCUCACGUUUUAUGUGUUUGAAGUUAAAUUAUUCAUUAACUAGAACUCUGUUCAAAAUUGACUGUCUUGUGGUUCCCAAAUGUAGUUGUAAUAUUGAAUGAAAGUAAAAACUUUCUAUGGCGAGUUUAAAUCUAAAUCUGAACAAUGAAUUUUGACUUUCUCAAUGCUAUUCUAAUUACAAAAAUUAUAUUGAUUGAUUUAUUGUUACAGUUACUACCCUUUGAAAAUGUAUGGAUUUAUUGUUUCCGUGACCAAAUUAUGCCUGCCUAACGCUGCAACUAUUAAAAAAACUAAUAUUUAAUGCAUGUGUUAAAAGAUUUAAAAUUUUAUGCAUUUAUUAAUUGUUAUAAUCUAAAAAAAUUAAUUAGUUCAGGACAAUCUGAGUUGGUGCAUCUGCAGAGCCUUUUUUUUUUCCCCCCUUAUUGACCAUAAUGAUCUAAGGGGUAUAAUACGACCUUGGUUCUUGGUAAAAAUUAAUUAGUUCAGGUCAAUCUUUUAUGCUCUGUUUUCUAGAAACAGAGUCCUAACUAAAUUGAUUGACUGUACAGUGCAUUUCAACAUAGCAUAUUUAACCGUUUUAACAGUUAUUUGAACCGUCUUCAGAGUUAACAUCAACAAACUCAUUCAUAUUGGUCCAAUCUUACGGCCGAUAUCAUAUUAUCAUAUGCUUAAUAAUGAACAAAUAGUCUUGGAUCAGUGUUUUGCAGCAAGAGCAACUCGACACAAUCUGGAUUCAACCUCCUCCUAUCUAACAGGGGAUUUCGAUUUGAGUUACUUUGUGCUCAAGCAAAUUCACAUCAUAGUUUUGAUUCUUUAGGUAUGAAUUCAUCACAUUACAUAUAUCAGAUUAAGUGUAACAAAAUUUUUAAUUUAUUGCGAAAAGAAUACGCGCUAAAAAAUUAUUUGACGACUAUUUGAUUACCAAAAGCUGCUGUUAGAGUGCACUAAAAAUCGCCAUUGGCAUAAAUAUUUUUUGAAAAUACUGCCAUUAGAUAUUUUUAUUAUUCAUACUUCAUUGCACAAGGCAGCACCUAGCUUCUAUUUCCAGCCCUAAUAAUGAUCCGCUGCUGGAAAAGAAUUUGUGCAGCAUGUACGCUCCUUGACCACAACAGCAAAGUUUAUUGAUGUUAUUUCAUAUUCUGCUGUGACUCAAAUAAAAAUUUACCAUGCCCUUUCGGCAUGGCUUGCCUUUCAGCAAAAAAAGAAAAAAAAAAAUCUUUCAAAUUGUGGAAGCAUGCUUACAUUAAUCAGCUCAGUAUGUUGUGUUUCAUGGGAUGCAAAAUUCUUUUUGUUUCUCAUGGAAGAAUUGACUUGUCUGGAUGUAUUAAUCUCAUAGAUUUUCCACAGAUUCGUGGGAAUAUAACAAAGCUAGACUUAAGUGAGACCCCAAUAGAAGAAGUUCCGUCAUCAAUAGAGUGCCUAGCUGAUCUUAAAACGUUGCGUUUGAGUAAUUGCAUGAGGCUGAAGAGGCUUUCCAUCAAGCAUUUGUAAAUUGAAAUCUCUUCUUGAGCUUUAUCUCUAUAACUGCUCAAACCUUGAAAGUUUUCAAGAAAUCAUGGAGAAAAUGGAACGUUUAAAGAUAUAAAUUUAAAAAGGACGGCCAAUUACAGAGCUGCAAUCUUGAUAGCCUUCGGGAUAACAUUAGAAAUUUAAAAUCUUUGAGGUACAUCUCUACUAAUGGAUCGGCCAUUAGUCCUCUGUCGCAGGUUCGAUUGUACUUAAAUAUCUAUCAUUUUCUCAAUGCAGAGGUUUGGUAUCAUUGCCUCCAAUAUUAUUUUCAGGUUUAGUUUAUCGAAUUUGUUACAGCUAAAUUUAAGGGACUCUGCUAUAAUGGAAAUUCCCCAAAAUAUUGUUUGUCAAUCCUCAUUGAAAAUUUUAAAUCUAAAGGCUUGUUUGUUAACUACUUGAAGUAUGUAAUUAAUGCUUUUUUUUGUGUAAUUUAUGUUUGAUUUUGAGAUAUUUACAUUUGAAUAAAAAAAAAAAACUUUUGUUACAUUUAUCUAAAUAAGAAAAAGGCUGAAUGAGAAGUAAAUAAUCUCCUUUUUUGUUUUAACUUAGAAAAACAUAAACGUUAACUAACUAUGUUUAAAAAAAAUUUUAUUUAUGAAAAGAAACCAAAUACUACUUAUAUUCAUAUAUCAAAAAAUGAAAAACAAACAUAUUAUUCAUACGUGCACGCACAAACUCAUUCAGACCUCAGCUACAUACAAAUCCAUUUAGAUUUCAAACAAAAAAAUAAAUACUUCCUAAGUGGGAAUAACUUUGAGAGUUGACUUGCAAAUGUCAAGCAACUUGCAGGGCUAGAAUAUCUUGACUUGAACGGUUGCAAUGAUUUCUCAUCAUUGAGAGUUUAUCAUUGUGCUUCAUCAUCAUCAUCAUCAUCAUUAUUAAUAAAAAGGUAAGCAAUUAAGAGUCAAAUUAAACCACUUGAAAAUCACUCAUCCACACUUUUGGGACAUCAUCUGCUCAUUAUUUUUAUUCCGUAUCUUCAUUGUUUUAUUUGGUAAUUAUUACCAUUAGUAAAUAAAGGGAUUAGUUGAUUAUUGUGAAGUAACUAAAUGGAGCUCACCCUUAAAUGUCGGCUUAUAUCAAGGAGGCGCCUUAGGGUUAAUAAAUCAACUAAUCCCAUAAUUUGUUGAUGUAGGGUCCUAACAAAUUAUUGCCGUAGAUCAGCACACAGCUCGAAAACAUAUUUGAUCCACACAGUGAAGAUGAUUCAAUAUUAAGCAUGUCAUAUAAUCUGGAGUUGGAUAUUGGACCAAUUUGAUGAUAAUGAGUUUCUUUCAAUCUCAAUCUUUAUCUUAUUCGCAACAUGACUAGCCAUUGCGUAAAUUCAAACUCUGAAAAUGAUAAGUUUGUGAUAAAGGAAUCUAUGAGUACAAUGGGAAAAUUACAUGAACUUAUGUUAUCAAUCAUUGUUUUUCCUUCUCGUGAUAGAAUUCAGUGCAACAUAAAACAUGAUAUAUUUGUACCUUACCAUGCCAUGUUGUGAACCUAGAAGCAAUGCAAAUUGCAAGGAACAUUAAGCUAUCCACUGUAUAUAACAAAUUCUUAUUAGCCCACAAUCUUGUGCCGCCACAUUGAUCAAGUAACACUAUUAUAUCAUUUCCAAAAUGGCAUAUAUAAUCUAAUGUUGAACAAACCAAAUUGGGAAUCAUCAUUCCUUACAUUAAGUUGACAUUCGUACCUGCUAGUCCAUGAGCAAAGUUGCAUAUAUUUCUACACAGGCCGCUCCCCUUAUCUCUCGGUUCCGACAGAGCUUUGUUUUCCCAUCACCAGCUUUGGAUUCAUUCGAUCACUGGUGCUCCGAGUUAGAACGGUCUACAAAGCUGCAUUUCGUUAGGCAAUCUAGUCUCUCCAUUCCUAGCAAAGUGACAUUGAUUCCCGUAUUUGUAAUUGCCUAAUUGGGGUUUUGGCAAUAGCCUGGCUUAAAAUUACCACCCAUUACUUUGUUCAAUGCCACUGGCAUCCUCUGAUUAGGAACAUUUUCACAAUUUUUGGUCCUGUUAGUCGAAUCACAUUCAACGGGAUAGUGAGGCAGUAUUUCACUAAAAGAUUCAAUUUGACUACUCAUAUUGAUGCACAUAUAAGAAUUUGAAAUCACUUUCUCUUGGAAUAUUUAAUGACCCUUGAUGAAAGUUCUUGAAUGGAAUUAUUUAAUUUGAUUUGAUUUCCAACAAAUUCAAGAAACCCCACAUAGUAGCUAAACAAAAAUCAACCAAUAAUACGCAAUGGGUUUCUUUCUUUUUGCCUUUGGAGGGCCAUGGAGAUCUGGAGUGGGCUGUAAGUAAUAGCCUUUAUCACUGGAAUGACAGAUUUGCAGAAGAUGAUACAUGGGGAAGGAUUGGGCGAGCAUAAAAAUGGGUUUACACUCUUGGAUUAGCGCCUCAUUUAGGUUGUAGGCUUGUAGCGAGAUAAAGAUAUUAAUUAAAGUUUUAUAAUCCCUGUUAUGAUUAAGGCUUCACUUAGUAUAGCAUAGAGCUUUUUGAGUUUUACCAGAAAAUUUUUUUAAAAUUAUUAUUUAUCGGAAAAAGGAGACUUACACUCCAUGGUCUAAGGAAAUAGUCACAAAGAUACUAAGUUUUCAAUAAAAGACACCAAUUUUUUUUUUUUUUUCAUAAUGCCCUUUGACUCCAUAAAUUUCUAAAAAAAUAACUCCAAAAUUUUAUAAUAAAUGAAAAUAUGGCAUUAAAAUAAAUGCAGUAAUAUAUACAUUUCAAAAUAAUUUUAAUAUUUAGAAAUAUUUUAAUAUUUUUCAAUCUAUUAAACCUAUUUUUAAGCUGUUGACCUAUUAAAGUAAUUCUUAAUAAUGAUAGAAACAUAAUAUUAAAAUAAAUUAAUUAAAAUUAAAAUUAAAAUUAAAAGUAUUUUGAAAUUAUAUAAAACUAAUUUUAAUAUUAUUAAUAGGUAGAUUUUUAAUUGUAAAAUCUAUUUAACAAAAGAUUUAUUCAAAAUCUUUAUGAUAUUACAAAUAUAUUGUUAAAAUAAAUAUAAUAAUUUAAAAUUUUAAUAUUAUUUUAAAUGUAAAAAAUAAUUUAAUAUUAUUAGUCUACUAGAUAGAUUAUGUUAUUUAUAUUAAAUUUGUUUUAAUUAAAAGUCUUUAAAGUUAAUUUUUUAAUUACUAUAGUGAAAGGGUAUUAUGGGCAAAAAAGUGUCUUGGUAUCCUUCUUUUAAAACUUGAGAGUUUUUGUGACUAUUUUCCUAAAUCUUAAAGGUAUAAGUGUCAUUAUCCCUUAUUUAUUUGGUUGUUUUGCUCUCGAGAGUUUUUAAAGCUCCAAAAUCUUUAAUCAGUACUUUUUUUUUUUAAGUAAAACUUUUAACAAAAAAUUAUUAUUCAUUUGAUUGUUUACGAGAGUUUUUAUUAGAAGUUAUAUAAAGUUCUUUAAUUUUUUUAUUGGUGCAGCUUUUUACAUGUAUAAUUUUUAUUUUUUAACAAAAAUUAAUUAAAUAAUAUUAGAAAUCCUAAUAUUUGAGUCCCAAUAUCAUAUAUCACUCAUUUUUUAGAUGACAGAUUUCAUAACUUAUAAAAUUAUUUAACUAACAUCCAAUUAGUGAAUGUUACUAUAGUGAAGACUCAAAUUGAAAUUUAAAUGUUGGGUUGCGUGACAUUUCUCUUAUUUGGUUGUUUAUGAGAGCUUUCUUGUACAAAAUAAUUUUUAUACAAAUUGAUAUAGUCUAAAUUCAUUAAUUAGAUUAAAAUACAAAAUAAUAAAAAUAAAUAAGUUUGUAUAAGAAUAAUUCAUUCUUUAAUCCAUCUAAUUGAAUUAUCCUAUGUCUAUUUAUACUAAAUAAGUUUAUAUAAAAAUUUAUAGUUUUGUUUUUAGAUGUGCAACUAAAUUUUUAGUCUCUUAUUCCUCGUAAAAUUCAAAUCUGAGUGGCUCAUCAAAUAAAAUUAUUUGAAACCAUACGGUAUGGUAGCUGGAACCCUUGAAACCAUCGAGGUCAUGAAAUUUACCAGCCAAAAGAGUUUUAAAUGUCUAUUUUAUAAACUUUUAAAAAAAUUUUUAUUUACCAUUUUACCAUCCGUAGUAAAGGUGUCGCAUCGACAUUGAACAGAUCAACAUAUCAGUCAUUUCUCAUUCAGCCAUUAGGAAUUUACGUUUGGGGUAUUUUUGUAAUUAUAAGAAGGUAAACUAAUCGCAAAACUCGUUUGGCUUGCACUUGCUCGCCUGUGCUCUGUGACUCUGUGUAUGGUUAUGGCGUUAUCAUUAUCAUCUUCUCCACUCCUACUGACGCCAGACCUUAACAGUUCAGAUUCCCUUUCUCGACUGUCAUACCCUACGCCCCGUCUCCGUGUCUCCGAUAAACAGUGCUCAAUUAAGGCCAUCAGAUUAUCCCGGACCCACAUUGAUCCAACGGCUCACAAUGACCGACAUCCUCUCUAUCUCCAUUUCAAGCUCCCUCUUCAACUGGCUUCUGCUUCUGUCGUACUCUUUCUUGGAUUCGGAGUCCGUAUUUGCUCAGCCGGUCCCGCACAGCUCCCUCUCACUCCAAUUGUCACCCAACAAGACCAAUUGCUUAAUCAAGGCACAGACCAAGAAGAGGAUGAGAAGUUGAAACAAGAAUUUGAGAAUUGGAAAUCGAAAACGUACGCAUUAACCGUGCCUUAAAGGGUUGCUUCUCUUCAGAAUUCAGUGCCUCAAUCUUGGGUUAAGGAUUUUAUGCGAAGUCAAGGAAAGAGAUUGAAGUUUCAGAUGAAUUUGUGUGCUAGCAUUGAUGGGAUCGUUAACAAUUUAUCUGUGCCCUUUAACAAAGUUAAGGCUAAGUCAGCUUCUUAUAUGGCUGCUGAUUUGGUUAGUAUUGGUGAUUCAUGGCUCAGCUUUGCGAUUAAAAAGAGAUUGAUUGAGCCAAUAGCUGGAGCUGAAGACCAAGAUUGGUUCAAAUGCUUAAGUCACAAAUGGAAGGUAACAUCUUUAUCUUUGACCCGAUAAUUUUUAUUGUCUUACAUUGAAAUUUGGUAAUGUAAUUUGUUCUCUAUCUGUAUUACCCUUUUUAGUCGUUUUAUUUAUUUGUUUGUUUGUUUAUUUGCUUUUAUUUGCACUAACGAAGUCUCGGGUAUAUCUACCCAGGAAUGAUGCAGGAGAAAUUGAUCCUCGAGGUGAAAUAUGGGCGGCACCAUACAGGUGGGGCACAAUGGUGAUAGCCUACAAGAAAAGUAAAUUUCGAAAGCAUAAUUUGGCUCCGAUUGAGGUAAUAACUGUCUUUAAACUCAUUUAGUUUUAUAUCAAACAAAAUCAAGGCUGCCUUUCUCUUCAAUAUUUUUUAUGAUAAUAUCUUUAGAAGCAUCUCAUUGACGGGUAAUAAUGGUGUCCCUGAAAGAGUCUAUAAACUCAAUGAUAUUAUCUUCUACAAAUGGAUCAUUAAACUUCUUUUUUGUAGUCAAAUGUACACUAAGAACAAUGAGAAGCUAUGCCACUGUAGCACGUAGUGAUGGCACUUAAUAAGUGAGUUGCUAGGAUGUGAACAAGAAAAAUUAAAUAUUGUCUCCUUGGGUAUGCUAGCUCGUAAGUCAGGGUUAAUAUUAGAGCUUAAGAUACUAUAACCAUGCGAAACUAUUGACUGCCAAUUAAAAUAUCCAUUAAAAUGUCUAGGGAGUUAUGAAGGUAGAGUUAUCUUCCAAUUUCUAAGGCCACAUAGUAGACAUCAUCCAGGAUCCUAGGAAAGUGCGGUUGAUCUCCUGCUUGAUGCAGUUAAUAAAUUUGGUCAAUGCGACUGAAACCUGCUAACUGACGUCGCAAUGCGACAUGAGCACUUCAAAAUGGGAUAGACAGUAGCACUAAAUUUUUCUUGCCUAAGAUUGAGCAAUUGGUCUAAAUACUAACCCCUAUUGUAAGUUGAUCAUUAUUUUUUCAAUUAUGUUCAUUUUGACCCAAAAGUUACACAAUCUUGAUCUGAAUAUUGUCACUGAACACUGUCAAUGUCGUUUAGCAUUGGCAACUAACUCGAGUUUAGUAAAACAAACAUACACACUGUCUCAUGUCUCACAAUUCAAAUUAUCAUCUGUACUGAUGGAGAAUUUUUCUGAUGUAUGAAGUAUGCUUUGAUAUGUAGGUUAAGCUUGGAGAAGAUAUCUCAAAAUAAAGAAUAUGGGGAGUGAAUGGGAAGAAUCUGUAGUCAAGUUUUGUCUCAAAAAUGGUCAAAAUUUAAAUGAAUGGACGGGGGAUCUUCAUUCUUUUUUCACUUCUUUAUACCGAGAUAUCUCUCAACCUUUAUAUAAUUCCCACUGGAUAUCUGCUUCUAAUAAUUAAAAUAAAAAUUUCAACCACACCAAUAAAUAAUCAUCUUAGAGUGAGACUAUCAGUACAACCCAAAAACAUAAUAAAACUGGUUUGGUUCUUUUUGUUGAUGUCUAAAUGUUGUUCAUUGUGACAUGUAGAAAUGAUGAGGUGAAGUUUCUUUGGUCAUCAAAUAGUAAGAUCUUGUUUGAAGUUAUUUUCUGAAAUGAACAGUCAAAUGGUAGUUUUUUUGGGCCAUUCGAUGGCUCUUUUCUUCCUCAUUUUAAACUUGUGCCUGCUUGGAACGGGAUGGAUUAGGCUGCAGAGUUAUAUAUUUUGACAUGCUCUGGUCAUUACACAAUUUGUUCAUACUGGAAAUUAGGAUGAGAAAUUUGUUGCUGCUGUUUUGAGAGAUCUGCAUUCUAUGCACAAACAUGAUUAAUGAAAAUGGAUUGUAGGACUGGAAAGAUCUGUGGCAGCCUGAGCUCGCAGGAAGGAUUUCAAUGGUUAAUUCUCCCCGAGAGGUUAUUGGUUCAGUUUUGAAGUAUAUGGGAGCAUCAUACAAUUCAGACGAUAUUGAUUCACAAGUUGCUGGUGGGAAGAUUGCUGUUCAGCAGAAUCUGGCAUUACUGGUAAACCAGGUACUCUUAAAGAAAUGAUAUCUGGUCAUUGCAUGUUAUUGCCUGACAACUGAUUUUGUUUGUAAAAGUCGGCUUCUUCAUACAUAUGAAUGCAUAUGUUAGUGUUUUCUUCUCCUUUUCAUACAUAUGAAUGCAUAUGUUAGUGUUGUCUUUUCCUUUUCAUACAUAUUAAUACAUAUGUAGAUUUCUUCAUCAUUGUAGCCUCCAUAGUUGAAGUUUCCUCAUUUGAAGCUGUUUAUGCAUAUGCUUUUUCCCUUCUCAAGUACAGGAAAUUGAAGAAUUAACCAGAUGUGAUAUGCUGAAAGAGUGAAGUUUUCUCCCUUGAAUGUGGCCUUGUGAUUUGUCUUGAAGGAAUAGGAUGAUCACUGGCAAGAACCCUAUCAAGGUAGAUUUUAUGGUGUUAACAUAUUUUUAAGCAUUUUGUUACAUCAGCAAUGAUGCUUUCAUAGCAUGAAAGUGUUU
rnacentral:lncRNA from 1 species